AACUAACUUCUAACCAAUUCCUAACCUCUAAUCAUCCCUCACUAAUUUUAUAUAAUCAUUCAUCAUUUACCCAUUAAAGAAUUCUUCUUCACUUUUUGAUUUCCCCAUUCUUCACUUUCUCUCAUGUUUUGACUCUCCAUUUUCCAACCUUCUCUCACUAGAGCUCGAAUCCAUGGUUGUUGAAGCUUCUCAUUGAAGUUUCAAUCAACUUGAGCAUAACAUUCACCAUACUUCACAUUAUAGUUUUCCAUGAUUCACGCAUUGAAAAAGUGGCAAAAGAAUCAAGAACAACAAGAAAGAAAAUGAAAGAAGAGAUGAAGAGGAAUUGAAUCAAGUGAACACAAAGAAUCGUUUACUGUAUUGAAUUUGCACCACUGUUGAAGAACCAUCGGAGAGGCUCUGAUCGUUAGCCUCAAACUUUAUUUAUCACUCCCAUGAAUGCUUGCUUGUUUGUGCCUACUAUGCUGCUUGAUUGUUUGAGUUAUCUUGUAUGCUUGUUUGUGUUUUCCUUGCCUUUCAUCUUGUGUGAACGAUUACCGUGAGAAUCCAAGCCUUGCCAUGAACACAAACUUAGAAAAUCAACAUCUUGCCCUACCUUCCCAAACCAAAUCAAACUUGAAACUACAAAAAAGCCAUCCAAGAACCAUUACAAAACUUGACAAUCAAUUCACAAUCCAAAAAAAAACAGUCCGUAAGGGACCGAAACAAGGCCAAAAGAGAAGAAACUCAGUUGAAACAUUACGAACACUAGGUGUGCAAGCUAUGAAACCGUAACUGAAAACGCAAUAAUUCAAUUUACCGUAGCCUAAACAAUUAAAUUCGAUUCGAAAAAAUCAGAACCACAAACCAAACCAAACGUAUAUCAAACUAAAACUGAACCAAGAAACCAAACACAAAAUAAAUUGAACCGAAACCGCAAUAGACCGUAACCAAAAACAAACAACUUCGAACCAACCGACUUCUGAACCAAGUCAUAAUUAAACCUAAAUUUAGUCAUAACCAUGAAGUUAUAAUCCAAACACAUCUCUUUAACACCAAAUUUCCAAACACAUAUCUUUACCCAAUUUCAACUAACAUCACAAUUAUCAUCUUUACUGUUCAUCUCUAGCCACAACAUAAAAUGCUACCGUUGGAGUUGUUGUGCCGACUCAUGGUUCUAAGUCAUUGUAAGUAAUCCUUUUUGAGAGUCUGACAAGGAGAUACCUGUUGUCUAUUAAGAAGUAUCAAUUACUUUUAAAAACCCUCCCCGCGCGAUCACUCCUCGCUUGGUUUCGAUAUUUGUGUAUGGAUUUGAGUUUUUCACGGCGUGUCUUUAGUGUUUUCGGUCAAAGUCUUAUUACUAGCCUCACGUAUGUUGGUGACACUAGCGUGAUUGGGUACUUCUCUAGAUGAUACUUUUAAGGAGGGUUUUUUAAAGUUUGAUACUUUUAAUAGACCAGAGUAUCUCCUUGUCAGACUCUCAAAAAGGAUUACCUUACAAUGACUUAGCCAUGAGUCGCACAACACUCCAAACCGGAUAGCGAUUUAUGUUGUGGCUGAGAAUGACAGGUAAGAUGAUAAUUGUGAGGUUGUUAGAAAUUGGUGUAAAGAUAUGUGUUGGAAAUUGGGUAAAGAGAUGUGUUUUGGAUUAAUAACUUCAAUGUUAUGACUAAAUUUAGGUUAAUUAUGAACUUGUUCAAGUCGGUUGGUUUGAAGUUUGUUUGUUUUGGUUACGGUCCUAUUGGCGGUUUCGGUCAAUUAUUUGUGUUUUGGUUUCUUGUUCAGUUUUAGUGAUAUACGUUUGUUGGUUAUUUUNUAUAUAUAUAUAUAUAUAUAUAUAUAUAUAUUUGAAUUAUGAUGAGAAGUGUGGUUUAGAGAAGAACUACGAUGGUGGCUUGAUAUUGGUGGUGUUUACGGUUUGAAGAGGAACUAGUAAUGAUUAUUACAUUUGUAUUUUUUUGUUACAUUUCAUGCAUCAUGCAUUGUUGUAGAUAGGUGUAUGGAUUUUGGCCCAUAGACAAAUUGUUGGUUGAGAAUAGGGGAUCAAUGACGGGACUGGAUUCGAGGAGGAAUGAGGUUUGAAGAGGAACCAUCGGUGAAUGGAUGAAAUUAGUAACAUAGCAAUAAUGUUAAAAUUUGGCACCACAUGCAUAUUGAAAUAGAGAAGAAGAGUACAUUACAUUAAUUCUUACAUAUGUAAAUGAUUAAUGUUGUGAGUGAUUAUUAUUGUGUAUGGUGAUUGUUGUGGAUGAAUAUUAUGAAUAACUAUUUAUGUUAACUGUACUACCCUCAAUGUUUUAUACGCCAUUAGCUUAUGUGAAUGAAUUAUCACCCAUGUUUGUUUUCUUGUGUUGUUUGUACGUCUGUGAUACAGAUACUCGGGUAGGGACUGAGAAGCCUUAGUGAUUGAUUACCUUGGAAGAGGACGUUAGUGACCUUCUUCAUGUUUUAUUGUUUAUGUCAAUGUUGUUUAGAAUUUCCAAGUGUCGCUCUGAAUAAUGUACUAAUGGUAUGAGAUUGUCGUUGCUAUUUAUUUUGAGAGUUUUUUAAAAAUUUAAACCUUGUGGUUAUUUGAAGUUGUUUUAUGAGUUUAAAAGGAUUAACUAAAAUAUGUUGAGCUUUCAUAAAUGAUUUAUGCUAAUUUAUUAACUUGUUGAGAAAUGAUGUUUUAUGUAGAGAACUGUGACACCCUUGUGUGUGCAUUAUUUUAAUUAUAAUUUCUACAUGUUUUAUGAGUAAAGUGUCGGGGAGGGUGUUACAUAGAAGGCGUGCUAAACGAGAUAUGAUGUUUCAGGAAGCUUCAAAGUUAAGUUACUUUUGUGUGAAGCAAGGAUUAACUCACUAAGCGAGCUAGAGACGUACUAAGUGAGAAUAAGCUAGCCAAAACCACUUGUAAAUGAGUUGAAAUUUUUAAGGGGGUAGAUUAUAGGCAAUCUAAGCGAGGCUUAGAUCUCGAUUAGUGAGAGGGGAAUACCAUACCAUUAUAAAUAGGGUCUUGGGCAGGUCAUUUGGAUAUCUUGUGAAAUAUCUUGAGUAUAUUAGAGAAGUCUUGUUAAGGCUUGGUGUAUUUCUCUUAGUAGGAUAUAUAUAUAUAUAUAUAUAUAUAUAUAUAUAUAUAUAUAAUAAUAUAAUAUAUAUAUAUAUAUAUAUAUAUAUAUAUAUAUAUAUAUAUAUAUAUAUAUAUAUAUAUAUAUAUAUAUAUAUAUAUAUAUAUAUAUAUAUAUAUAUAUAUAUAUAUAUAUAUAUAUAUAUAUAUAUAUAUAUAUAUAUAUAGAGAGAGAGAGAGAGAGAGAGAGAGAGAGAGAGAGAGAGAGAGAGAGAGAGAGAGAGAGAGAGAGAGAGAGAGAGAGAGAGAGAGAGAGAGAGAGAGAGAGAGAGAGAGAGAGAGAGAGAAGGAGAGAGAGAGAGAGAGAGAGAGAGAGAAGAGAGAAAAGAGAGGAAAAGAGAGGAAAAGAGAGGAAGAUCGAGGGUGCAAGCUUUGUCCGACAAUAGAUGCUUUUUUACAUAUUUUUUCGGGGGCUUAAUUGUAAAUAUGCGUUGAGUAAGUGUAGUUAAUUUUCUCUUAUGUUGGGAUUAGAUGUAGUUUUCCCAGUAUUCAUGUUUUGAUCCUGAUCAUGGUGUUCUAUAUAAUUCUUCUUAAGCUAAAAUAUUGAUGAAUUCUUUGCUCUUAAUGCUUAUUUUGGAUUAGCUAUCUAAAAUAUAUUUUCAUGGUAUAAAUUGAUAUUCAAAAGGUACUAGUCACUACUAGAUCCAAGCUUUUUUUAUAUUGAAUAUAUACUAAAGUCUAGACAUAGAUUUAUGUUUAGUAUUUGUAUAAACUGUUGAAACUUAUGUGAAUGAAUUCCCACCCCUGUUUGUGUUUUUUUGUUGUUUUUACACUUAUGAUGCAGAUACUCGGGUAGGGAUGGAGAAACCUUAACAACUGAUUGCCUUGGAAGAGGGCGUUAGUGGCCUUCUUCAUAUUUUAUUGUUUAUGUCAGUGUUGUUUAGAAUUUCCAAGUGUAGCUUUGAAUACUUUAACAUGGGGAUGUGAUUGUCGUUGAUGUUUAUUUUGAGAGUUGUUUAAUUUUUAAAACCUUAUGGUUAUUUGAAGUUGUUUUAUGAGUUUUCAAGGAUUAACUGAAAUAUGUUGAGUUUUCAUAAAUGAAUUUCGCUGCUUUAUUAAAUUGUUGAGAAAGGAUAUUUUAUGUAGAGAAUUGUGACACCCUUGUGAGUGCAUUAUUUUAAUUAUAAUUUUCGCAUGUUUUAUGAGUAAAGUGUUAGGGGUUGUUUAGGGUGUUACAUAGUUGGUAUAAGAGUCUGGUCGGUUCAUUCGACCUAGGUUGUGAACUAGUUUAUACUCUGGUGUGCGACAUGUGUGCAAACAUUGUCGAUGCUUGAGUUCGUUAACUGUUGUUUGCUUUAUUGUUUACAAUUGGUUAACUUGUUUUGGAUGGUUGUGCAGAAAGAAAUGACGGGUAGAAACAUGUAUGAUUGUUGAUGCUUUUGAGGUGAUGGCUCAAGUGAUGAUGCAAGUGGAUGAAGCUUUGCAGGAGAAUCAGAAUCAGAAUGGUGGUGCUGAUGAGAUCUGUGGGCUGAGAAAGUUUCAAAGGAACAAUCUGCCUAAGAAGUUAUGAUUUCAAGGGUGCUAAAACUUAGAUUUAGGAUAUUGAGAAUAUCUUCGGAGUUAUAGCCUGCACUGAUGCACAUAAGGUGUUGUUCAAAACGCAUAUGCUAUAUGAGGAGGUUGAGUAUUGAUGGGAGAAUACACGUCAGAGGAUGGAAGUUGCUAAUGCGGAGAUUAUUUGGGAUAAUUUCAAGACUGAGUUUCUAGAGAAGUACUUUCCAGCUAAUGUUUGCAGUAAGAAGGAGAUUGAGUUCUUGCAGCUGAAGUAGGGAAAUAUGAAUGUGGCUGACUAUGUUGUUAAGUUCAAGGAGAUGUCAAGAUUUUGUCCCCACUAUAAUUGUAUUGAAGUUGAAGGUUCGAAGUGUGUGAAGUUUGAGAAUGACUUACUGUCAUACCCCAAAAUUUUCCCUAUUUUUUUUUCAUUUUUUACCUGGCUUACGACUUUAUUCAUCUGCAUGGAUUUAGGAAACAUUAAUAUCAUUCAUCAUGUAUAUGUGGGUUUCAUUCAUUUCAUCGACAUAUAUUGUAUAUUUCAUCAUUCCAUCUCCAUUUGCAAUGAUUAGGUCAAAGGCUCUUUAACGAUGAUGCUUUGCUUAAAUCAAGAAGUACUUUGAAUUUGAAAAAUGGAAAUUAAAGAAGUGGUUGACUUUUGGUUAACAGAGUCGACACUGUUGAUCAUAUGUUUGAUCGAUAUCCUAGAUAUUCCUAAACCUAUUCAUCCUCAUUCUCUAAGUCGUUACAUCGUGUACAAAAAGAACAUACCAUGUGCAUGGCAUAUCAUGAUUUUAUAAAAAGAUAGAAUUCUUACUUGCAUCUAAAGCAUGGUUUUGAUUCACUUCGUGUAUUUGAAUCAUACUGUUUAAAUUAAACCAUCAAGCACGCAUUUCACAAUUUUUGCAUAACCUGUAUUGUAAGCCAUCAACCUAACUUUCAUUUUCGUUUUCGAUACAUUUUCAAUUUCUAAGUGAUUCACUAAGUCACUUUUCACUUCAUGGGUAAAUUCCCUAAGCAUUCAUUGGAACUCAUUUCCAUACAUACACUUUGAUCCAUAAUUCCCUUUUAUAUUCAAGGUCUUUCAAUCCAUAUACAUAAGGUCUAAAAGUCAGAAAAUAUUGUCUUUACAUUUACAUGAUUUUACUUUAUAUCACUUUAUGUCAUUACAAGCAUAUUACAUGAUUUCCAUACACAAAAGAAUAAAAAUAAUUUCAAGCUCUUCAAUAGUCUUCACUCAUACUCCAUUCUUGACCAUGCUUGUUUAUACUACAUUCUUGACCAUGCUUGUUCAUGCUCCAUUACCAUGUACCAUGUUGCAAAAAAAACAAUACAAACAAGUUAGAAAUUACAUUCCCUUCUAAAAAUUCAGCACUUACAUAACAAAAUUAAGCAUCAUGGGCAUUUACAAAUACACAUGAGAGGUCAUCUUAAAUUCAUAUCAUUCACUUCUAAAAUUAGCACAUGCACAUACAUUCACAUCAUAUGCAAAAUCAUUAAAAAACAAGUCAAAUUCAAUGCUAAGUUAUAAAAAUUCAGCAUGUUAUACAUAUACCAUAAAUACAAAUUCCAUAAUAUGCAUCAUCCCCAUUCCAUUUCUAUACAACAAGUAAAACCCCAUAAAUCACGUGUAUUAAAAAAAAUACAACAUUCAUGUAAUACAUCAUUUCAUUCAUGAACAUCAUUUUAAAUGCAUCCAUAAGUCAUUCAUUCAUACCAUGUAAAUACCCAAACAUGUAUUCAAGUGAUGCCAUGUAAAUUCAUUCAAUUUCCUUUAACAUUCAUAAAAAAUUCAGCAUAUGCACAUACAUGUAAAGUCACAUACAUCCUUUCUUUAACCACCCUAACUACCUUAAACUUCCACUAACUAACUUCUAACCACUUUGGUCAAAUUGCCCAAAGUGCCCAAAACGGUCUCAACUAACUUCUAACCAAUUCCUAACCUCUAAUCAUCCCUCACCUAAUUUUAUAUAAUCAUUCAUCAUUUACCCAUUAAAGAGAUUCUUCUUCACUUUUUGAUUUCACCCAUUCUUCACUUUCUCUCAUGUUUUGACUCUCCAUUUUCCAACCUUCUCUCACUAGAGCUCGAAUCCAUGGUUGUUGAAGCUUCUCAUUGAAGUUUCAAUCAACUUGAGCAUAAACAUUCACCAUACUUCACAUUAUAGUUUUCCAUGAUUCACGCAUUGAAAAAGUGGCAAAAGAAUCAAGAACAACAAGAAAGAAAAUGAAAGAAGAGAUGAAGAGGAAUUGAAUCAAGUGAACACAAAGAAUCGUUUACUGUAUUGAAUUUGCACCACUGUUGAAGAACCAUCGGAGAGGCUCUGAUCGGUUUAGCCUCAAACUUUAUUUAUCACUCCAUGAAUGCUUGCUUGUUUGUGCCUACUAUGCUUGCUUGAUUGUUUGAGUUAUCUUUGUAUGCUUGUUUGUGUAUUUCCCUUGCCUUUCAUCUUGUGUGAACGAUUACCGUGAGAAUCCAAGCCUUGCCAUGAACACAAACUUAGAAAAUCCAACAUCUUGCCCAUACCUUCCCAAACCAAAAUCAACUUGAAACUACAAAAAAGCCAUCCAAGAAACCAUUACAAAACUUGACAAUCAAUUCACAAUCCAAAAAAACAGUCCGUAAGGGGACCGAAACAAGGCCAAAAGAGAAGAAACUCAGUUGAAACAUUUCACCGAACACUAGGUGUGCAAGCUAUGAAACCGUAACUGAAACGCAAUAAUUCAAUUUACCGUAGCCUAAACAAUUAAAUUCCGAUUCGAAAAAAUCAGAACCACAAAACCAAACCAAACGUAUAUCAAACUAAAACUGAACCAAGAAACCAAAACACAAAAUAAUUGAACCGAAACCGCAAUAGGACCGUAACCAAAACAAACAACUUCGAACCAACCGACUUCUGAACCAAGUCAUAAUUAAACCUAAAUUUAGUCAUAACCAUGAAGUUAUAAUCCAAACACAUCUCUUUACACCAAUUUCCAAACACAUAUCUUUACACCAAUUUCUAACUAACAUCACAAUUAUCAUCUUUACCUGUUCAUUCUCAGCCACAACAUAAAAUGCUACCGGUUGGAGUUGUUGUGCCGACUCAUGGUUCUAAGUCAUUGUAAGUAAUCCUUUUUGAGAGUCUGACAAGGAGAUACCUGUUGUCUAUUAAGAAGUAUCAAUUACUUUUAAAAACCCUCGCUUAAAAGUUAUCAAUCUAAGAGAAAGUACCAAUUCACUCAAAUAGUUCACAACUAUAUCGUUAAGUCUUAUUAAUAAGUACUUGUACAGAAACAUUCGACUAAAGAGGCACGUGCUUUUAAACUCGAAUAUCAUACUUAGUCAUCUUUAAAUUAUGAAUUUCAAACCAUUGAACUUUUAUAUUGUAACACCAUAAUAACUACAUGUCUA
rnacentral:lncRNA from 1 species